rnacentral:misc_RNA from 1 species
AGCAGCCGCGGUAAUUCCAGCUCCAAUAGCGUAUAUUAAAGUUGUUGCAGUUAAAAGCUCGUAGUUGAAUUUCGGGAUCAAUUAGUCGGUCGUGCCUCUGGUACGUACUGGUUUUAUUGGUUCCUCCCUUCUGACGAAACAUGAUGUCAUUAAUUUGGUGUCGUGGAGAAUCAGGACUGUUACCUUGAAAAAAUUAGAGUGUUUAUAGCAGGCUAACGCUUGAAUACAUUAGCAUGGAAUAAUGAAAUAGGACGUUCGACCCUAUUUUGUUGGUUUCUAGGAUCGACGUAAUGAUUAAUAGGGAUAGUUGGGGGCAUUAGUAUUCAAUUGUCAGAGGUGAAAUUCUUGGAUUUAUUGAAGACUAACUACUGCGAAAGCAUUUGCCAAGGAUGUUUUCAUUAAUCAAGAACGAAAGUUAGGGAUCGAAGACGAUCAGAUACCGUCGUAGUCUUAACCAUAAACUAUGCCGACUAGGGAUCGGAUGAUGUUAAUUUUUAAUGACUCAUUCGGCGCCUUACGG